CCCAGGAGGAAAAGGCGCCCUCUCUCUCGAAGCUCGUGGACCGCCGCUUUCUCCUUUUCCACGAGCAGAAAGCCCAGCCCAGACCACGCCUACGCUUUGGCGAAAACGCUGUGCGGGCCGUGUGGUUUUGUGACGGGAUCCCGGAUGGGCUUUCAAGCUGCCAUUGCUCGUACAAAUACCCAGCUCAGUUUCAUUUCACAUUUUCCGGCCUCCGAUUCGUUGGGCCAGACGUAUGAAAAAAAAAAAUUGGUCCAUUUGGGCCGACGCACCGAAUUUCCAUUCAACGAUACUUUUGCUUUCUUCUCCCUUCAACUGCGAUGCAUACGCUCCUCCGUUUCUUUCAUCACUGAUUGAGAGAUUCUUCUAGCAAUGAGAAAAGAAAAUGUCACCUUGCUAAGUGCGGCAAUCUGUGGGAGUACGAGUAUAUCAGAUCUGUAGGUCUAAAAUAAAUAUCAUUCAGUGAAGAGGGAGCAUGACAGACCUUGCUUACAAAUAAGUGUUCAAAUUAAACAUAUAUUUUUUGUAAUUUACUAUAAUUGUUUCUGUAAUUUACUAUAAUUUUUCAAAGAUUUAGCCGAAAUAAAUAAAAAAGAAAAAGACAAAACCUGUAUAGCAAAAAGUUUAUACUAAAGCAUUCCACAUUAUAUGUUCAUUGUGUAGAUCUACUUAUGUGGAGUCCAACAAAGUUAUAUUUUUUAUUUUAUAAUUUUUCUAUGAUUUACUAUGAUUUUUAAAUAUUCAGCCGAAUUAAUUAAAAAGGAAAAAACAAAACCACUGUCACUGCAGCAAAACCACCAUCCAUUAUAGCAAAACCGCAUUCAAAACCGCCCUAGGGAGGUAAAAUUCACAGUUUGGAAAGUUGGAGAUGAUUUGCCUGUUUUUAGAGUUGAGAAAGGAAUAACAUACUUUCGUGAAAAUUGGGGAGGAAAAGUAGACUUUUUUCUCAUACAAAUACCCAACCCAGUUUUAUACCUGCUAAAACAAAAGAAACUCAGCUCAGUUUCAUUUCACAUUUUCCGGCCUCCCAUUCGUUGGGCCAGACGUAUGAAAAAAAAAUCGGUCUAUUUGGGCCGACGCACCGAAUUUCCAUUCGAUGAUACUUUUGCUUUCUUCUCCCUUCAACUGCGAUGCAUACGCUCCUCCGUUUCUUACCUCACUGAAUGAGAGAUUCUUCUAGCAAUGUAAAAGUGAGAGAAGAAAAUGUCACCUUGCUAAGUGCGGCAAUCUGUGGGACUACGAGUAUAUCAGAUCUGUAGGUCAAAAAUAAAUAUCAUUCAGUGAAGAGGGAGCAUGACAGACCUUGCUUACAAAUAAGUGUUCAAAUUAAACAUAUAUUUUUUUGAAAGAUUUAUGAAAGGCUAGGGAAGGAUUUUUUUUUUUCCUUGUAGUAGGACUUUGAAAAUAAGAAGAGGUAGUUCACCGACCAGAUUUUGAGAGGAUAUAUUGGUGAGUUUCAGGACCCCGUUAAUUAAAGAACAAAUUUCUAGCCUAUUUAAUAUAUCACAUUUACCCUCACACACUGUUCUGGUUGAUGUUAUGAGUCAACCACGUUGAACGUUUUGAACAAAAAAAAAAAGAAAACUAACUCAAGUUGCGUCAAUUUUCACAGGCGAGGGAUCGGAGUACAGGUGUUGCCGUGUUGGUUCAUGUUGCCGGUGCUGGUGCACACGUCCGUCCAAAGAUCGAGCCGCCGAUAUGGUGCCUGGUCGCCGUACGUUAUGCAGUGCAUGCCGACGAAUGGCGUCCUCGGUAGGUUGCAUGCAUGUGCCUGUAAAUUAGGCCUCGUUUAGAUGGGUGGGUGAAAACUUUUUACUGUAGCACUUUCAUUUAUAUUUGAUAAUUAUUAACCUCAUAGACUAACUAGGUUUAAAAGAUUCAUCUCACGAUUUACAGGUAAAUUAUGUAAUUAGUUUUUGUUUUUAUCUAUAUUUAAUGCUUAAUGAUAUGUCGUAAGAUUCGGUGUGACGGACAAUCUUUAAAAUUUUUUAGGUUUUGAAGGAAAGCACUUUCAUUUAUAUUUGAUAAACAUUGUCCAAUCAUGGACUAACUAGAUUUAAAAGAUUCAUCUAAUGAUUUACGGAUAAAUUAUGCAAUUAAUAAUUUUUUAUCUAUAUUUAAUACUCAACACAUGUGCUGCA
rnacentral:lncRNA from 1 species